CUAGGAAUAUUGCGCAAUGGGGGCAACCCUGACGCAGCAACGCCGCGUGAGUGAGGAAGGUUUUCGGACCGUAAAGCUCUGUCGAGCGGGAAGAAAUGCAUGGUGGCUAAUAUCCAUCAUGCUUGACGGUACCGCUAAAGGAAGCACCGGCUAACUCCGUGCCAGCAGCCGCGGUAAUACGGGGGGUGCGAGCGUUGUUCGGAAUUAUUGGGCGUAAAGAGCGUGUAGGCGGCCGAAUAAGUCAGAUGUGAAAUCCCUGGGCUUAACCCAGGACGUGCAUUUGAAACUAUUCGGCUGGAGUAGGGGAGAGGAAAGUGGAAUUCCUGGUGUAGAGGUGAAAUUCGUAGAUAUCAGGAGGAACACCGGUGGCGAAGGCGACUUUCUGGCCCUAUACUGACGCUGAGACGCGAGAGCGUGGGUAGCAAACAG
rnacentral:rRNA from 1 species